rnacentral:lncRNA from 1 species
CCCUGCGUUAGCGGGAAGGGAUGUAGGUAAUUUCCAAAUGAGUUUCGUGGUUGAGAUUCUUGACAUUAAAUAGGCCCAAAUGAUUAUGUAUCAUGUACUCUAUCGUAUUAAUUUGUAUGUUUUGGUGCUUCCUUCAUUGUGUUUAGGUACCAACACUGCAUUUGGAAUCCAAUGUUUUACUUACUCGGUGUGCAUGGACUCAUAUCAGUAUGCUGUUGAUUACUGCAACAAGGAGUGCAAAAUACUUGGUUAUGACAGCCAGAAAGGCUACUGUAAAAAGGAGAAUCGCGGCAUGUGUUGUUGUGCCUAAAGUUACAUUCAUUUUAUAUUGUCAUUUUGUAGUAAAGCAUUGCAUGUAUUUACUAGCCAGAAUACUAAUUUUUCUAGAUUAUACGAGAAUUUCAAUACAGUAUACAGGUAGUUGCUUUCGAAGACCAACUUGAAUAGCCGAUCAAUUCUUCG